rnacentral:rRNA from 1 species
AACGUAGGUGGCAAGCGUUAUCCGGAUUUACUGGGCGUAAAGGGUGUGCAGGCGGGGUUGCAAGUGGUGUAUGAAAUCUCCCGGCUUAACCGGGAGGGGUUAUGCCAGACUGCAAUUCUAGAGGACGAGAGAGGGGGGUGUAAUUCCGGGUGUAGUGGUGAAAUGCGUAGAGAUCCGGAGGAACCCCAGAGGCGAAGGCGGCCCCCUGGCUCGUACCUGACGCUCAGCCACGAAAGCAUGGGGAGCGAACGGG